rnacentral:rRNA from 1 species
AGGACGAACGCUGGCGGCGUGCUUAACACAUGCAAGUCGAACGGUGAAAGAGGAGCUUGCUCCUCUCGAUCAGUGGCGAACGGGUGAGUAACACGUGAGUAACCUGCCCUUGACUCUGGGAUAACCUCGGGAAACCGAAGCUAAUACCGGAUACGACCCUCGGAGGCAUCUCCAGGGGGUGGAAAGAACUUUGGUCAAGGAUGGACUCGCGGCCUAUCAGGUAGUUGGUGAGGUAAAGGCCUACCAAGGCGACGACGGGUA